rnacentral:lncRNA from 1 species
GGCGGUCGCUCGGCUAUGACGUGCCCUGCUCCAGCAUAUCCGGCCCGGCCAUCCCGGCGGGUCCCGCCCGCUGUCUCGGCCUUCCCGGCGCUUCCCAUGGCCCUGCCCGCCGUCCACAGGUGCCUCCAACUCAGUGAUGAAAAUGAACAGUUAGUCAAGAAGGUGAAAAGACUACACAUAAAAAAUAAGGAGCUAGAAAAGAAUCUGGGUCAGAUCCAAGAAAAGUUGCAUCUGCAGCAGUUAAUGCAUGACUGUGGCACAAGCAGAGAUGUUCAGGUUCAAACAGAAACCCAUUUAUGGCAUAAGGGUGGAGACAGCAAGGAUUUUGUUCUAGAGUGUGACAGUGUCAGACUGCUUCAUAUGUAUAAUGAGCUACAGAAACGUUACGUUAGAGAAAGCAAAAAAAACAAGGAGCAAAGUGAAGCAAUUAAAAAUCUCACUAUUAAAAUUCAUGAGCUAGAGCAUAAUCUUCAAGAGCAGAGGCAAAGAAUUGAACAACUGGAAUGUAAAAAGGUUUCUUGGAAAACUAAUGCUGUUUCUGAAAAAAGAAGUCGAACCUCAGAGGGAGGAAUAACUUCUCACAGGGACAUUUCUGAAGAGAAGGAAUCCUGUUGCAGUAAAUAUUUAGAGCUAUUGUUGAAGGAGAUUAAAAAGCUGAAGAAAGAAAAUGGAAAGUUGUCUGCAGAAAAGAGAGCACUAAAAAAUGAAUUAGCUGGAUUAGACAAGGAAUUUUUUGAAGAGGUAGAAGAUCUAAAGCAUGCUGUACAGGAAUGUCUGAAACUGAACUAUGAGUACGAAAAAUGCUUGAAACAAAUAAGUGUAAUGUAUGGGCUUCCUUUUACAGCACAUUUGUAAAUACUGGUUAAUUUAAUGGCAAGUAGAGUUUCCACUUUUUUUUUAUGCUUACUGCAGCAUUUAAACCUACCAUGGCUUAAGUGGUACCUCAUUUUGAUAAUGUUAUGGAUUCACUAAUAUGAUCCUAACAAGCUUCUCUGAAAUGUUUUUGUAUUUUGUGCCUUUGAUUUUUUGUUUAUAUGGUUUUUAAAUAAACUGUGGUCUGUAUAACUUCA